GACAAGUUCAUUUAUAUAAAAAUUAUCUAUUUGAUAUUAUUCCCAACUUUGUACUUCGUUUAUAUCUAUUUACUCUAUAUUAUAAUGAUCUUACUAUAUUGAACAUAUAUUUGUAUUAUAUGGUUCAAUGAAUCCAAAUACUCUAUCUAGGCUCUUUGAUAUUUACUCACCACUGGCUAUUGGACAAAUUACUUUUCUUAAUAGUUGUUUUAUCUGGUUCUGGCCAGUUUGACAGUUCACCUUUUGACUAUAUAUACUGUAAUUUUUAACUAUAUUGUCAAUGCAGAAUAAGUAACACCAGAAACAACACUAUGAGCCGUAGCCAGCAUUAUAAGAUCUGUCGUUGCCUUCUUUAUAGUACAUAAUAAAGUAUUUGAACGUUCUGCAUUCAAUUCAUCUAUGCCUUAUUCCACCUGGUCACAUAUGGCGUCGUCGACAAACCAGAAGGCAAUGAUUGCUGACAUUCCAUCAGACGGCUGAGCGGGGUAUCUACGGAGUAAGCCGAACAUUUACGAAGUUGAUGUGUGUGUGUCAUCGGGCUAUCCACGGAGUUGACCGAACUUUGACGGAGUUUCUACCAGAUCGGAAAUCCACGGAAGGAGCCGACCAGUGACGGAGAUUAUUGGUGUUAUUGGAAUAUAUACGGACUUAACCGAACAUUGUCGGAGAUUGAAAGGCGAACACUAACGAAGAUGUAUAACAGUGCAGAAACCAUGUACCAAUGAGGACCGAUGAAGUAACUGUUUUCUGUAUUUGGAAUAUAUGUGAUAUUGAGAGAUAUUGUGAUAUAUGUUGAAAUGUGUAAAUUUUUUUUUCAUUUUGGAUUAUGUGUUUUAUUCAUACUGGAUUAUAGUUGUGCAUUUAUUCACUUUUUGUGAAUAUAGAGUUGAAGUUAUAUAUUGUGUAUUUUUGCAAUUUUUGUAUUUUUUAUAAUUUUCAAUAGUUUUGAAAGUUCAUAAUGGCAAGUCAUCCUACUUGUAAGUCUUUACAAAAGCAAGUGAAUGAAUUACAGAAUAGUAUUAAAGAAAUGUCUUGGAAAUCUGGUGGUGAAAAUGAAGUGAAAAAAGCACCGAAUGAAAAGAAUGUUGUAUAUGCAUUUAUUUGUAAAGUUAUAUUUAUUUGUCAUUAUCUGUAUAUUUCAGAUCUGUCGUUGCCUUCUUUAUAGUACAUAAUAAAGUAUUUGAACGUUC